AUUGAACGCUGGCGGCACGCCUAACACAUGCAAGUCGAGCGGCAGCAUGCUUAGUAGCAAUACUAAGUGAUGGCGAGCGGCGGACGGGUGAGGAAACCGUAGGAACAUGCCCAAGAGAGGGGGACAACCAAUGGAAACGUUGGCUAAUACCGCAUAAUCUCUUAGGAGAAAAGUGGCCAGUAAGGGUAACGCUUUUGGAGGGGCCUGCGUCCGAUUAGCUAGUUGGUGAGGUAAUGGCUAACCAAGGCCGUGAUCGGUAACUGGGCUGAGAGGACGACCAGGCACACUGGGACUGAGACACGGCCCAGUCUCCGACGGGAGGCAGCAGUGGGGAAUCUGGGACAAUGGGGGCAACCCUGAUCCAGCGAUGCCGCGUGCGUGAAGAAGGCCUUCGGGUUGUAAAGCCCUUUAGGCUGGACGAAGGGUGUGGGACGAAUAAUUCUGCACUUUGACGGUACCAGCAGAAUAAGCACCGGCAAACUCUGUGCCAGCCGCCGCGGUAA
rnacentral:rRNA from 1 species